GACGAACGCUGGCGGCGUGCCUAAUACAUGCAAGUAGAACGCACAGUUUAUACCGUAGCUUGCUCCACCAUAGACUGUGAGUUGCGAACGGGUGAGUAACGCGUAGGUAACCUGCCUGGUAGCGGGGGAUAACUAUUGGAAACGAUAGCUAAUACCGCAUAAUAUUAAUUAUUGCAUGAUAAUUAAUUGAAAGGUGCAAUUGCACCACUACCAGAUGGACCUGCGUUGUAUUAGCUAGUAGGUGAGGUAACGGCUCACCUAGGCGACGAUACAUAGCCGACCUGAGAGGGUGAUCGGCCACACUGGGACUGAGACACGGCCCAGACUCCUACGGGAGGCAGCAGUAGGGAAUCUUCGGCAAUGGACGAAAGUCUGACCGAGCAACGCCGCGUGAGUGAAGAAGGUUUUCGGAUCGUAAAGCUCGGUUGUAAGAGAAGAACGGGUGUGAGAGUGGAAAGUUCACACUGUGACGGUAUCUUACCAGAAAGGGACGGCUAACUACGUG
rnacentral:rRNA from 1 species